rnacentral:piRNA from 1 species
UUCAGAGCAGGGUCAUGUCUUUG